CAAGAGUUUGAUCCUGGCUCAGAGCGAACGCUGGCGGCAGGCUUAACACAUGCAAGUCGAACGGGCACUUCGGUGCUAGUGGCAGACGGGUGAGUAACACGUGGGAACGUACCUUUCGGUUCGGAAUAAUCCAGGGAAACUUGGACUAAUACCGGAUACGCCCUUCGGGGGAAAGAUUUAUCGCCGAUAGAUCGGCCCGCGUCUGAUUAGCUAGUUGGUGAGGUAAUGGCUCACCAAGGCGACGAUCAGUAGCUGGUCUGAGAGGAUGAUCAGCCACAUUGGGACUGAGACACGGCCCAAACUCCUACGGGAGGCAGCA
rnacentral:rRNA from 1 species